rnacentral:rRNA from 1 species
UAUAUAUAUAUAUAAAUAUAUACUACUAAAUAUUAUAAAAAAAAAUAUUUAAUUAUAUCUUUAAUAGUCUAAUAUAAACUGAAUAGAUAUAUAAAUUUAAAUAAUAAAGCUAUUUUCCUUUUGUAUCAGGAUAUAAUUAUAAAAUUUUAAAUAAAUUAUUCCCGAAAUUAUAAGAUCUAAAUUAUUUAUCAAUAUAUAUAUAAAUAUAUUAAUAUAAUAUAAUUUAGAAAUUACACAUUAUUCGAAUAUAAUAAUAUCUGGUUUUUUAUAAAUAAAUAAUAUUUCAUAAUAUAUUAUAUUAUAAUAUAUAAUAUAUAUAUAUAUACAUAUUCACAUAAUUUUUAUAAAAAAUAAUAGUAUUUAUAAAGUUUUAAAACCAUAUAUUAUAUAAAUUUAUACAUUUUUAAUAAAAUUAAUUUACAAUUAAAUAUUAAUAUUAUAAUUAUUAGAUAAUAUAUUUAUACUACUAUAAUUUAUAAAUAUUAAAUGACUGUUUAUCAAAAACAUUUCUAUUAAAAUAAUUAAUAGUAAAAUCUGCUCAAUGAAAAUUUUAAUAGCCGCUAAAUCAGUGCUAAGGUAGCAUAAUCAUUUGUCUUUUAAAUGAAGACUAGUACAAAAGAUAUUACAUUUUAAUUUAUAUCAUUAAUAUAAAAAUUAAAAUUAACAAUAAUGUAAAAAAUCAUUAAAAAUAAAGAUAGACGACAAGACCCUAUUGAACUUAACUUCAGUUUUACUGGGGCAGUAAAAUAAUUAAUAUUUUAAUUUAAAUCUUUGAGAUAAAAAUCUAUAAUAUAUAAUAAUUCAGUUACCAUAGGGAUAACAGCGUAAUAAAAUUUUAAAGCUCUUAUAAAAAAUUUAGUUUACGACCUCGAUGUUGAAUUAAUAACCUCUUUAAAGCAAAAUUUAAUCUUAGAGGAAGUCUGUUCGACUUUUUAAAAAUUACAUGAUUUGAGUUCAGACCGGUAUAAGCCAGGUCGGUUUCAAUCUUCUAAAAAUCUUUUUACAGUACGAAAGGACCUAAAAAAUUAAUAAUAUU